CUCCAGCUGACGAGUCCCAAGUAGGACGAAAUGCGCAUCCUGGAU
rnacentral:hammerhead_ribozyme from 1 species